rnacentral:lncRNA from 1 species
CUAAUCUAAGAAAGCGAUUAAAAUGUAGUAAACUGAUAUGUGAAUGAGUGUAUUGGAAUCUCGAAUCCCCCUAUUGCCAUUUAUUCCAAUUCUUAAUUCAUAAUUUAGAUAAUUUCAUGCAUUCACGAUAAUCGAUAAUCCACUUUUGUUCAAUAUUCUUUUCCAAGAUAUAUUAAACCUAUGUUUAACACGACCCGAUCCUAUUCCUAGUCCGAAUUCAUAUGAAAAACAUGCAUUGAUUCACA